rnacentral:rRNA from 1 species
GUGAGGAAUAUUGCGCAAUUGAGGCAACUCUGACGCAGCCAUGCCGCGUGCAGGAAGAAGGCGCUACGCGUUGUAAACUGCUUUUAACCGGGAAGAAACCCCAGGACGUGUCCUGGGUUGACGGUACCGGAGGAAUAAGCACCGGCUAACUUCGUGCCAGCAGCCGCGGUAAUACGAAGGGUGCAAGCGUUAUCCGGAUUCAUUGGGUUUAAAGGGUGCGUAGGCGGAGCGUUAAGUCAGUGGUGAAAUCCUGCAGCUUAACUGUAGACUUGCCAUUGAUACUGGCGCUCUUGAGUGCGCUUGAAGUGGGCGGAAUGUGCCGUGUAGCGGUGAAAUGCUUAGAUAUGGCACAGAACACCAAUUGCGAAGGCAGCUCACUAAGGCGAUACUGACGCUGAGGCACGAAAGCGUGGGGAUCGAACAGGAUUAGAUACCCGGGUAGUCC